rnacentral:rRNA from 1 species
CCAAGGCGACGAUCGUUAGCUGGUCUGAGAGGAUGAUCAGCCACACUGGGACUGAGACACGGCCCAGACUCCUACGGGAGGCAGCAGUGGGGAAUUUUCCGCAAUGGGCGAAAGCCUGACGGAGCAAUACCGCGUGAGGGAGGAAGGCUCUUGGGUCGUAAACCUCUUUUCUCAGGGAAGAAAAAAAUGACGGUACCUGAGGAAUAAGCAUCGGCUAACUCCGUGCCAGCAGCCGCGGUAAUACGGAGGAUGCAAGCGUUAUCCGGAAUGAUUGGGCGUAAAGCGUCCGCAGGUGGCUAUGUAAGUCUGCUGUUAAAGAGCAAGGCUCAACCUUGUAAAAGCGGUGGAACUACAUAGCUAGAGUGCGUUCGGGGCAGAGGGAAUUCCUGGUGUAGCGGUGAAAUGCGUAGAGAUCAGGAAGAACACCGGUGGCGAAAGCGCUCUGCUAGGCCGCAACUGACACUGAGGGACGAAAGCUAGGGGAGCGAAUGGGAUUAGAUACCCCAGUAGUCCUAGCCGU